AGUGAACGCUGGCGGUAGGCCUAACACAUGCAAGUCGAACGGCAGCACAGUAAGAGCUUGCUCUUACGGGUGGCGAGUGGCGGACGGGUGAGGAAUACAUCGGAAUCUACUUUUUCGUGGGGGAUAACGUAGGGAAACUUACGCUAAUACCGCAUACGACCUACGGGUGAAAGCAGGGGAUCUUCGGACCUUGCGCGAUUGAAUGAGCCGAUGUCGGAUUAGCUAGUUGGCGGGGUAAGGCCCACCAAGGCGACGAUCCGUAGCUGGUCUGAGAGGAUGAUCAGCCACACUGGAACUGAGACACGGUCCAGACUCCUACGGGAGGCAGCAGUGGGGAAUAUUGGACAAAGGGCGCAAGCCUGAUCCAGCCAUACCGCGUGGGUGAAGGAGGCCUUCGGGUUGUAAAGCCCUUUUGUUGGGAAAGAAAAGCAGCAGGUUAAUACCCCGCUGUUCUGACGGUACCCAAAGAAUAAGCACCGGCUAACUUCGUG
rnacentral:rRNA from 1 species